GGGUGGUAAUGCCGGAUGCUCCGACUCCUCGCAUGGGGUGUCGGGAAAGAUUUCAUCGGUAUGGGAUGGGGUCGCGUCCUAUCAGGUAGUCGGCGGGGUAACGGCCCACCGAGCCUACGACGGGUAGCCGGCCUGAGAGGGCGACCGGCCACAUUGGGACUGAGAUACGGCCCAGACUCCUACGGGAGGCAGCAGUGGGGAAUAUUGCACAAUGGGCGCAAGCCUGAUGCAGCGACGCCGCGUGCGGGAUGACGGCCUUCGGGUUGUAAACCGCUUUUGAUCGGGAGCAAGCCUUCGGGUGAGUGUACCUUUCGAAUAAGCACCGGCUAACUACGUGCCAGCAGCCGCGGUAAUACGUAGGGUGCAAGCGUUAUCCGGAAUUAUUGGGCGUAAAGGGCUCGUAGGCGGUUCGUCGCGUCCGGUGUGAAAGUCCAUCGCUUAACGGUGGAUCUGCGCCGGGUACGGGCGGGCUGGAGUGCGGUAGGGGAGACUGGAAUUCCCGGUGUAACGGUGGAAUGUGUA
rnacentral:rRNA from 1 species